rnacentral:rRNA from 1 species
GUCGGGAAUAUUGCCCAAUGGACGAAAGUCUGAGGCAGCAACGCCGCGUGCGCGAUGAAGGCCUUCGGGUCGUAAAGCGCUUUUCGGGUGGAUGAGAGCGGACAGUACACCCGGAAUCAGGUACGGCUAACUACGUGCCAGCAGCCGCGGUAAAACGUAGGUACCGAGCGUUAUCCGGAUUUACUGGGCGUAAAGCGCGUUCAGGCGGUUGGACAAGUCGGGCAUGAAAUCUCUCGGCUCAACCGGGAGAGGUUGUCCGAUACUGUCGGACUGGAGGGCAGUAGAGGGUGGUGGAAUUCCGGGUGUAGUGGUGAAAUGCGUAGAGAUCCGGAGGAACACCAGUGGCGAAAGCGGCCACCUGGACUGUACCUGACGCUGAAACGCGAAAGCUAGGGGAGCGAACGGGAUUAGAUACCCCAGUAGUCC